UUUUAAAUUAUUAACUACGGAUAUGUACGGUAUUAGAUUUUAAUCCACGGUAUAUUGCGGGUCUAUAUUUUCAUUAAUUAAAAAAUAAUUGAAUAUUUUGUAGAAUGAUUUAAUAAAUUUAUGCUAUUGUUUGAUUUAAAUGUAUAAUUCACCGCGAGACGAAAUUUUAUAACUCAAAUUUUAAAGUUUUAAGUUGUAUUUAUUUAUUUUGUUAAAUGUUUAAUAUUAUAUAAUUGUAUUUUGAUUGUUGUUUCUCGGAUUUCACCCGUAGUACACCAUCCCAUAUUAAUAUCGAAUCAAACCCAUCAAUUCUACGAUUUCACCCGUGCUAGUAUUUAAUUAUAUAAUAAUAACUUGAUUGUCAUUGUAGGAUUUCACUCCUAGUUCUAUCGCAAAUUAUUAUCAACCCAAACCAAUCAAUUCUAAAAUUUCACCCGUAGUACACCAUCCCAUAUUAAUAUCGAAUCAAGCUCGUCAAUUCUAGGAUUUCACUCCUAAUUCUAUCGCAAAUUAUUAUCAACCCAAACCAGUCAAUUCUAAAUUAUCACCCGUAGUACACCAUCCCAUAUUAAUAUCGAUUCAAACCCGUCAAUUAUAAGAUUUCACCCAUGGUAAUACUGCGAGAGAAAUCUUAUGAAAGAAUCGAAAUGUGUUUUAAAAAAAUUAAAGUUUUAAGUUUUUUUU
rnacentral:sRNA from 1 species